GGGAAAUGAUAAUACAAGCGGAACUACGUAGCUAAUACUGUUGUAACGGGGAUCCUUAUUGUAGCAACACACUUUUGGAGGGAAGGCAAUCCUGCGCUGCGUUAGCUAAGUUUUCAUGUCAUCGGGUGUAGUUCAUAAAGGUUGAAGAGUGUAUGUUAGGAUGAAGUGUGAAUUCAUGCCAGGAAUAAUAAGUGUGAAGUUUGAUUUCCUCCCUUCUGUAAUAAGCAGCCAAUGAGUUCCAGAUAUCAAAAACGAAAUCAAAAUGGUAAAAUAAAGAAAACUCAAGAUCUGACAAAGAAGCAACAUGAAAAGAAGAAAAAACUGUGGCGGUCAAACUCGAAAAGGUGUUACAGAAGAAAAGGUAUUACAGAAGAAAAGGUAUUACAGAAGAAAAGGUAUUACAGAAGAAAAGGUGUUAAAGAAGAAAGAAACAGCUCAAAUCUGUAUUGGACACGACAUCAUAAAGACAGGAAGAUGAUACACUUCAACAAGAAGCAAAUGAAGAAGUUAUUCAAAAUCUUCAAGAAGACACAGCCUCCCCAAGAGAACAGCCAUUCUCACCUCAGCAGGUAAAUGUCCCUGCCAUCAUCUCAACUUGUGAAAGAAGAGAGACAUCUCUACAGACACCAGGACCAAUGAAGACAUCUACCCCAAAGGAAUCACCAAAAAAAGAGGAACAGAAGAAAGAAAACACAAUAAAAAUGUAGGUCAAAGUUGCGUUACACAGAAGAGAAGCUUCUGGAGAGGACCAAAGAGAUGGUCAACCUCAAGAAAAAACUGAAAAGUCUUCAGAUGAUGGCCAAGAGGAAGCAGGGAAUUGUCAACAUGGAAGGCAGAGAGGUCCAGAAGAAAACUACAAAGAGAGGUCAUCAGAGAACAUUACCCAGUAACAGCCAGAGAAGACUAAUGCGCACACUUGUUAACGGCUUCCUUCAUCAAGAUGAAGUCUCCACUGUAAUGAAUGAGAAAUCUGCAGAAAUCCGGAAAAAGGGCCAGAUGUUCCGUAAGAGAGCCUUAACGGACACUAUCUUCAUAGACGAUUUCUGUCUGAUAAGAAACAUCAUCCCCAAGAGACACUGUACAGGCCAGUGUGCAUAGUGAUGAUGACGUGCUGUUCUAAUGUUUUUGUAUGUGUUGUUUUUAUGUGUUCUCUGUUUUUAGCAUACAGUGGCUUGCGAAAGUAUUCACCCCCCUUGGCAUCUUUCCUAUUUUGUUGCCUUACAACCUGGAAUUAAAACACAUUUUUGUGGG